CUAUAGAAACCAUGAAACUCAGGAUGGAUAGCGCCAUAGAUCCUCCACAACCAGUAAUUACCACAGUGGUGGAGAAUUACAAUCAAGAUGAUCAAUGGCGCUAUCCCUCCUGAGCUUUACGGAUUCUACCG
rnacentral:pre_miRNA from 1 species